CCUACGAGUGGCAGCAGUGAGGAAUAUUGGUCAAUGGGCGGGAGCCUGAACCAGCCAAGCCGCGUGAGGGAAGAAGGUACAGCGUAUCGUAAACCUCUUUUGUCAGGGAACAAAGGCGGGGACUAGUCCCCGGAUGAGGGUACCUGGAGAACAAGCAUCGGCUAACUCCGUGCCAGCAGCCGCGGUAAUACGGAGGAUGCGAGCGUUAUCCGGAUUUAGUGGGUUUAAAGGGUGCGCAGGCGGCCUGUUAAGUCAGCGGUAAAAGCCCGGGGCUCAACCCCGGCGAGCCGGUGAAACUGGCGGGCUGGAGUUGGAGAGAAGUACGCGGAAUGCGCGGUGUAGCGGUGAAAUGCUUAGAUAUCGCGCAGAACCCCGAUUGCGAAGGCAGCGUACCGGCUCCACACUGACGCUGAGGCACGAAAGCGUGGGUAUCGAACAGGAUUAGAUACCCGGGUAGUC
rnacentral:rRNA from 1 species